CCCUUAGAUGUUCUGGGCCGCACACGCGCUACACUGAAGGAGGCAGCGUGUACUCCUGGAUCGAAAGAUUUGGGUAACCCGCGAAUCUCCUUCAUGCUAGGGAUUGAGGUUUGCAAUUAUCCUUCAUGAACGAGGAAUUCCCAGUAAGUGCAAGUCAUAAGCUUGCGCUGACUACGUCCCUGCCCUUUGUACACACCGCCCGUCGCUACUACCGAUUGAAUGAUUUAGUGAGGACUUCGGACUGGGACCGAUGCGGCUUUCGGGCUGCGUCGGUAUUCUGGAAAGAUGUCCAAACUGUAUCAUUUAGAGGAAGUAAAAGUCGUAACA
rnacentral:rRNA from 1 species